rnacentral:tRNA from 1 species
CAGGGAGACAACAAAAAUGUUAAAUAUUAAUUUUUGUCACCUUAGGUCGAUCGGUAUCUCAGGUUCUUAAUUAUUUUAAGAAUUUCAUUUCCUAAGUUUUUUCUAGGUCACACCCAUUACUUUCCCUGGGCCAUUAGCUCAGGUGGUUAGAGCGCACCCCUGAUAAGGGUGAGGUCCCUGGUUCAAGUCCAGGAUGGCCCAUACCUCUAUGUUGGGGGUAUAGUUCAGUUGGUAGAGCGCCUGCUUUGCAAGCAGGAUGUCAGCGGUUCGAGUCCGCUUACCUCCACUGAUUACCACUUCUGCCAUAAAUUUAAAGAAGGGAAUAGUUAUUAAGUGUGAUUUAAUUCUGAACGAUUCUAGCUUCUUAAUAAAUACAUUAAGAUGCUGGAUUCAUUGAAUUUUAUUCAUUGUUUUCAGAGAACCUUGACAACUGCAUAGAUUAUUUUUAAAGACAAUAAGCAUCUUUAAUGAUGCAGAUUUAUUAUUUGUGUUAAUGCAUUAAUAACAAUUUUAUUGAGCUGAUGCUUCAA